AGAACGAACGUUAGCGGCGCGCUUAACACAUGCAAGUCGAGCGAGAAAGGGAGCAAUCCCCGGUACAGCGGCGCACGGGUGAGUAACACGUAGGUAACCUACCUCCGAGUGGUGGAUAACCUUCCGAAAGGAGGGCUAAUACAGCAUGAGCCCACGACCCCGAGAGGGGAUGGGGGAAAAGCCGGCCUCUUCGACGAAAGCUGGCGCUUGGAGACGGGCCUGCGCCAUCAGCUAGUUGGUGAGGUAUGGCUCACCGAAGGCAAAGCGGUAGCUGGCCUGAGAGGAUGAUCAGCCACACGUGGAACUGACGACACGGUCCAGGACUCCGACGGGAG
rnacentral:rRNA from 1 species